rnacentral:lncRNA from 1 species
UCUUCCUUGGCUGAAUUAGAGAGAGAGAAAAGAGAGAAAAUCCCUUCAUCUUCCACUUCAAUUUCUUGUCCAAAUUUUGAGUUUUAACCGAUUAAUUUGCAAACUACUCCAUAAAACUUGCUUUCCAAGUAGUUUCCAAGGUGUUUAUGGAAGGAUUUUUGGAGGACAAAGCCUAAGCUACCAUUUUUCUUGAGUUUUCAAGGUAUUUUACCAAGAACCUCUUCUUUACUUCAAUUAAUUGCUAAUUAGUGGUUGAAAGUUGUAGUUUUGGUAGUUUAUGAGUAUAUUUCAUAGUUGGAAGUAGUAUUAUGGAAAUUCCAGUUUAAGGUUUCAUUUUUCCCCUUUCUAUCCGUUUCUGUUCGACCCGGUUAGAGGCCGAAUUGGCCUUAGUACAAAACAUGAAAGUUGUAGAGAAUGAUUGUUUCUAGUUUCCUGUAAAAUUUCAGCCCAAUCGGAGCAAUGUAGCCUGUGAAAAGACCGAAAUACCCCUGCUGCCCUGUUUCUAUCCGAGAAUGAUAAUCAGCUUCUGUAAUUGGUUGUUUUGACCAGGAAUACUACUGAUUUGGUUGUUGACGUCUUCUUAAAAUUUAUAGCCUUGCAUCUUAGCUUUUCAAUGGCUUUGGAAUCACUUCAAUUGGAGUUGUAGGUGCUGAGAUAUGACUGCAUAAGUCAGGACUGCUGUAGUACACUUUGAACUGGAAAAUCUGGGGUUGUUUUGGUAAAUUUGACCUAGUUAGGAUGAGAACUGGAAUGUAUUGUCUUCAUGAAAGUUGUAGGUAUUGAUGUGAUUGAGAUGCCUGCAACAUUUCAGGUCAUUUAGAUUAAUGUAGAAUGAGUUAUGACGAAAUUACUGUAGCUGUUCUGCUUUGGACAGAAUGCGAAAACUGCGAUAGUAAUUGGCCAUUUUGACUGGUUUUGGUUUGGAUUUUGAAGUUGGUGUCUUCUGAUGAAAUGUAGCAGGAUGUCUUAGCUAACAUAUGCCUUUGGAAUUUCGGCAUUUGGACUUGUAUAGACUAUGUUAUAGUAAUUACAGUUUUGUGUGAUUUGCAAACCUGUUUUGGUAAUUCUGGUAUAGUAUUUGGCAUUUUCGACCUAGUUAAGCUAGGAACUGGAUUGAGUGACCUUCUACAUUGUUGUAGCCCUGUUUCAUAGCUUCGAAACGGUGGGUCUUACACCCCCAUCCGAUGACCGUAGUGAAUUUGGUGCCAUUACCGCAUAUUGAGGUCAAAUACGGUUUGUGAUUCUGGUACGUUUUUGGAAAGUUUAUGGCUGGAACUUUGGCUUCACAUUUGGCUGAGUUACAAGCUGUUUGGGCUUCCGACCAAAACACCAAACUUAUAACCCUAUAUCAGGGUUUUCUAACGCCCUUGGAAUUUCAUGAAUCGGAUUUAUAAAACCUGAGAUAUAGCCGAGCAAACAAGGCCUGCCCGUGAAAAUGACCAGAAAUCUGUUUUGGUCCUGAUGACCAAUUUCCGUUCCGAAUUUGGAUUGCCGACCUUCAUGAAAGUUGUUCCAUUUGGAAUGAACUAUCUAACUGCCAAUUUUCAGCUCUUUUGACCAUGUGUAGCAUAGAAAACAGUUAGCACUCAAAACUGACCAUUUGUGCAUUGGCCAGAUUUCGUAAGUGAUUGUGUUUGGUUCAUUUGGGACUAAAGCCUCCAGUUUCAGUUCUGGAUGUCUUCAUAACAGUUGUUGUUCAUCCUUUAAGCUUCGAUAUGGCGUCUCAUACGCCUUAUUCCGAUAUUCGUAGCUCAACUUAUGAGUAAACUAGAAACGAGUGUCAAAUCUGCCGUUUCCGUUUCCGUCUGUCAUAUUUACGUGCGCGCGUGUUGUUUUGCCGUUUUGCUGGUUUUGGGCAUGUUAGUGGCCGUUUGUGAUAAAAUCUUCUAUUUCAGACAGCGGUGAGCUAGGCGGAGCCGGUGGGGCCACUACUAGCGAACGCGCGAAGC